rnacentral:lncRNA from 1 species
GGUGUGACAUAACAGCAGGACUAUGAUGGACACAGAUGACCAGUGGACACGGGCUUUGGCCAGCAACAACGUUAGGGCCAUCCUCCGCUGGCUACACAGCCUCUUAGCUGAAGUGGGAGAUGCUGAUGUGGAGGACAGCCUCCCUUCUUUUAGCAGCUGGGUCCAGAGGACGGCUGAACUUUCAAAGGAGUUACUCACCCAAAGUGAGCAGAUAUACACCAGCACCAGCCAUCCCAAACAGACCCAAAGGUUAUUGAUCCCAGCUCUUUACACAGCUGUGUUCCUGAGGUCUUCUCCUGUCACCUCUCUCUGGGUUGCCCCCUCCCCUCACUUCCCCUGUCUCCAGGUUUCAGCAGCUGCCAGGGCCUGUGGAUGUUCCUGGACCACAGCUGCUGACCCUGGCCCAGUGGGGGAGGAGGCAUGGUUUGGGGAUUCCAUGUGUCUGCAGGGUCGACUGUGGCUCCUCAGCAGUAAGGCAGGACUGCUGGAAUCGGGAACGCAGAGCUCUGAAGCAACACAUCUGGCUGGGUCGGCUGGUACAGUGGUGGGGCAUCACCGGACUCCUGCCCAAGUACCCUGUCUGGAGGAGAAGGGAAGUGAAUGGUGGAAUUCACUGAUCCAGAGUAUGGUGGCUCAGAUGGACUAACAACACUGGCCCAUAUGGACUUCUGAGGACCGCACCGACCAGGGUUACCCACCCCCUAAACUGCAGGCUUUGCUGAAGCUGGUGCUGGUGUCUCGCAUUGACAACAUAUCUGUUCAGGCCAUUGUAUCCAACCAUGGAGAAUCCAUAAAGUGUUCUCAAAGGUAUGACCGUGACUGUCAUGUGAACUGAAGUGAAUAUACAGUAUUCUUGAUCAUGUAAACUACACUUA